rnacentral:rRNA from 1 species
CAGCCGCCACGGUAAUACGAAGGGGGCUAGCGUUGUUCGGAUUUACUGGGCGUAAAGCGCACGUAGGCGGAUCGAUCAGUCAGGGGUGAAAUCCCAGAGCUCAACUCUGGAACUGCCUUUGAUACUGUCGAUCUGGAGUAUGGAAGAGGUGAGUGGAAUUCCGAGUGUAGAGGUGAAAUUCGUAGAUAUUCGGAGGAACACCAGUGGCGAAGGCGGCUCACUGGUCCAUUACUGACGCUGAGGCACGAAAGCGUGGGGAGCAAACAGGAUUAGAUACCCGCGUAGUCCCUGUCUCUUAUAC